rnacentral:misc_RNA from 1 species
CCACCCCUAUCUUUUUUUCAGCCGCCACUUUCUUUUUCUGCCUUCUUCUUCCUCCAGCGAGCAGCAAGCGCAGGGAGCUCAGCUCGUCCCCUCGGCCACCAUGGUGCCCUCCUCCGUGGCGCUCGCUCCCUGCAGGGAGCAGUUUCCCUUGGCCGACGCCCCAGCCAUGGCGCCUUUCUUCCCCGCGCAGCGCCUCGGCUCUCCAUCCCCCAAGCUCGAGCGUUCAUGGAACAGCUGGUCACUGGCGCCCCUGUUUUUCCCUGCGACUUCCAUGGUCGCGAGUUUCCCCUGGUCGCCAUCUCUCCAGUGCGUCCCCUGCAGGCGAGCAGCGAUUUCCAUCUCCCUACAACCUCCAAGGCUGAGCCCCUCCUCCCUCUGUUCGGCGCCCUUGCUGCUGGACGCGCAGAGCCCCAUGGCGCCUUGAUUUCUACCUCCCUCCCAUGGACGCCCAGAAAAAUCCCCCAGCCGAGCCCCCAAGCUGGCGCCCAGAAAUUCCAGCAGCCUCUCCAUGGCCGAGCUCCCUAUUCCCUCUGCUCUAGCCGGCCAUCUCCCGUAGCACACGCCGAGCUCCCCUUCGAUCCGGUUCAGCGCAGGCAGCAGCAGCUUCUAUGGAUGGCGCCCAGAAUUUUUUUUUUCUUUUCAGCGCCUCCCUGUUCAUCUUCCUCCCAGCCGACUUUCCUCCCCUGCUGCUGCUCGCCCCUUCCUCCUUUUCCCUGGUGCGGCAGCAAGGAGCCCCUGCUCGGACUGCAGCCGUGGCGUCCAAGUCUCUGCGCAGCGGUGCCGAUCCAAAACAGCAGCCCCGAUGGCUCCGCGCGCUGCCGGCUUGCUGUUUUGUGUUGCGCGGUGAGCAGCACGCCAUCGACGCUCGACAGGUGUUUGCUGUUUUUGCGCAGCCCCAUCCGUGACGCCGUCGAAACCCGUGCUAGUGGUCGACGUCGUGCCUUGCCCGUUCGACGAAAUACCGAGCCAUGUGGACAGCCAUGCGUCUAGUCACGACCCGUUCAGGACCGAGAGAUGCUGACCGUGCAAGUGAUGUGGUGCCAACCACAAGAUGCAGUCGGUGGACGACCCAAGGAAGGAUGGACUUAACCGGUGGAUGCUCGCCAAGCGAGUACCCCCCCUGCAAACACUAUCUAAGUGUUAAAAUAAAGGUACUCCUUAGGAUGGUUUGUUGAUGGUGUGACUUGGCCUUCAUCCCUGCCACCGGGAUAGACGGUCGAGUGGGUUACUGCUUCCGCAGGAGAGGACCAGGAGGAGUAGCGUGGCCAGGCUUCGCCAUGUUACUCGGUUUUCUCCGUUAGUUAUUUCCGCUGCAAUAAAUUUAUGUUUAUCAUUUUUGAAACUCCGAUAAUGUAAUCACUAAUGAUACUUAUUAAAUUGUGGUAUUAUGUUUUAUUGUAUUUCUCUGUGCCUCACCUUCGAGUGAGCUA